UACGUAGGGCGCAAGCGUUUAUCCGGAAUUAUUGGGCGUAAAGAGCUCGUAGGCGGUUUGUCGCGUCUGCCGUGAAAGUCCGGGGCUCAACUCCGGAUCUGCGGUGGGUACGGGCAGACUAGAGUGAUGUAGGGGAGACUGGAAUUCCUGGUGUAGCGGUGAAAUGCGCAGAUAUCAGGAGGAACACCGAUGGCGAAGGCAGGUCUCUGGGCAUUAACUGACGCUGAGGAGCGAAAGCUAGGGGAGCAAACGGG
rnacentral:rRNA from 1 species